rnacentral:rRNA from 1 species
UACGAAGGGUGCGAGCGUUGUCCGGAAUUAUUGGGCGUAAAGAGCUCGUAGGCGGCCUAUUGCGUCUGCUGUGAAAGCCCGGGGCUUAACCCCGGGUCUGCAGUGGAUAAGGGCAGGCUAGAGUUCGGCAGGGGAGACUGGAAUUCCUGGUGUAGCGGUGAAAUGCGCAGAUAUCAGGAAGAACACCCGUGGCGAAGGGGGCUCGGUGGGACGGUACUGACGCGGAGACGCGAAAGCGUGGGGAGCGAACAGG